CUACAUAGAACUAUUUACAUCAUCCAAAAGGAUGGACAGAAAAAAGAAGGUAAAACGAACACUGAAUCCUCAGAAGCCAGAAACAGCUACUUGCUGGCUAACUCCCAUGGAUGGCUCCAAACCAUUUCCAUAGUGGCAAGGUCUCACCACAGAGCUCAAGAAAGCUCUCUCUACCUCUUCUGAUGCGUUCCUUCUGAGCAAGCACAUGACAUAGUCCAUUAGAGCUGCAUCACAAGGCAGGGUUAUCCUUCCAUCGCUUGUGAAGCCAAACUCAUCGUGAGACAUCCUCAGGAGCUCCCCGAUGAUCGUCGUGCUGAGGUACGCCAAUGGCACCUCAAACCGCCUCCCGUCAGCAGUGUACAUGGCGCAGUGGCCCUUCACUGCCACUGACGUGCAGCACUCAUCGACUUCUUUUGCUGAAGUCCACAUGAGCCUCUUCCUCCUGAUGGCUGCCACUCUUUGCCACUUCCUUAUCAUCUGAGAAAGUCUCUUGGCACUGACCAUGGUUGUAUCACCUUCUUUCUUGGCAGAAAGCUCAGAGUUUUGUGUCGAGUGCUAAGCUAGUGGUAGUGCUUUGCUUGUGGAUGGAACCGGCGGUUCAGAGCUGAUGUAUUUAUAGGUGGGGGGAGAUAUGCAUGCAGCUUAAGUGCAGCUAUCAAAGCGAGCUGGCAAGGGACAAGGCCAUGAGCUUCGAACAUGCAAUGUUUAGAGGCUACCCCUUUGCUCUUUGGUGCCUGUUGGAGCCAAUAGUGGUAGUGCUUGGGUGAUUGGAUAUCACAAUGUGCCGUCAUACUGGCCUGCUCAAUGGAUCAGGGGCAUGCUUCAUGAGAACUACAUGUAAGUUGGGUCCAACAUGUGAACAGUGAGAGACAGUUCUGUGGGAAAUGAGAUAUCAAUUAUUUAAAGAUCUGGAUAUCGCCUGAGAUUGAGAUACAUAGUCUGACGGUUUUCCACGCCCAUUGUUUCUGAACAACCAGUUUUAAUGUGUUUACUGUCCAAAGUCCAAACAAGUGAACAACUUGCCUGCCAAUUUCAUAAAAUCUUUUGCUGGUUGUCUGUUUGAUUAGUAGCAUCUCAUGUGAACUCCAUUUGGUCGCUGCUUCUUACACUCCACAAUAUAGACCUACUGGACUACAACUAACUUGCUGUCAUUUUAUUUUUGGACUGAAAACUUAUUGUCAUUAUUGAGUGGUAAGCAGUUCUACUGGACAAUAUUUCUCCGUUGAGACUUGAAGUAGUCGUAUCUCUUUCUGAAAAAUAGAAGGAAACCUGCUAAAUCCAUUGACCAAAGCAGAAACUUACACAACAACAAAAGAAAGACAAAACAAACAAAACAGAAGACGAGAGGUUCGUACUUCUUUCUGGACACUUGCUUAACAAUGCCUAAUCAUCUAAUUUUGAACUUAUGCAAACGUCUUUCAAAGUUCAGCAAUGAAGUCGGUCAGUCUACUGGCUGCCUGAGUCCUAUCUAGAACAUUUAGAGAAGUACGAACACCAAAGAUGUGGAUGUAAAUAAUCAUGAGUAAUUCAAGAUUUUCAGCGAAAAUAUCACACUGAUCUGCUAAGAUGAGAAAAUAUGUAUCUUCCUUGCAUUCCUACAACUCUUAUAAUUUACAUUCAACUGAACAAAACAUUUAUCACUAGCUACAAACAGCAAAUUGCUGAUUAAGUUUCACUGAAGCCACAUAACUCGCACUGUGGCAAGGCCUUGCUAUGGAGCUCAGGAACGCCUUCUCAACCUCUUCAGAGGCCUCUCUCCUAAUCAAACACAUCACAUAGGCCAUCACAGAGGCAUCAAAAGGUAAUUUGAUCUUGCCAUCACUAGAGAAGCCAAAUUCCUCUUGAGACAUCCUCAGGAGCUCACCGAAGACCAUUGUGCCAAGGUACACCAAAGGGACCUCGAACCGUGAUCCAUCAACAGUGUACAUGACACAGUGACCCCUGUCUGCAACAGAGGCAGUGCUGCAGCAUCCGUCGGUGUCUGCAGUCUGCUGGCCACCAGCUGCCACCAGCCUCUGGCACUUCUUGGCAAGCUGAGCAAGCUUCUUUGAAUGGAUCAUGGUUGCUAUGUGUUCUUGGCUAAAAUGCACUUUGGCUCUGAUGGUGUGAUACACUUUUGCACAGAUUGCUGUGUCGUUUGGAGAUGUAGAAGUUGUGUUGCGCGGGUCAUGGGUUUAUAGUCAAAGGAGUGGGUCAUGUGUAGCUACCAGAAAAGAUGGUGGGGCGGGAGCUGCAGGAGACAAGGCCAUGAGUGCUCCGCAUGCAAUGUUGCAGCUGCAGACAAUGUGAUAAAUGAUUUGAUCAAAUAUUUUGGGGGAUCAGAUUUUUGGUUAUCGGUGAGGGAUGGAGCAAAUACUUCUAGUUGGGUGAUUGCUGCUCUACUGUAGUACUGAUUCCUUCAACUGCUAGAGGCAUUAAGCUAAAAAAAUUAUACAGGACCAGCCAUCCAUACCACCCUGUCUCAAGUGUGUUUUGGCAUGAGAAGGCUGCCUGAUGGGGAUCAUGGCUUGUGGGCAUGCCUUAUCCUUGGGGCCCUGAUCAAGUUGGUAUGCAACUCAGGCAACUUGCUACAAUAUCAAGAGGUAUAUUCUAGUUUGCAUUUGCAGCACACCAUGUGAUCACUUCAUUUGACACGCAUUUUCUGGUCUGUGCUUUGCUGUGGGUAGUACCUGGUUCCAACUUACAACUGUGGCAUCUGAUUCUGACCAGUCCGAUUCAACCCCUAAAUGGGCUAAAAUUCUAGGGGCGGUUAUAUGAUUGAAAUUUAAAUAGGGCAAUAUAAUGAUGUAUGAUGUUGAAAUGUUGUCCCAUUGUGCGUAUAUAAUUCAGCUUAGGUUUGCAGGACCAGACCUUCUAAAGCGGUACUCGAGAAAACACCCCCUAUUAAAAUGCAAUCGCAAGUACAUUCUUCUUUGGGACAUACUGGGUCAGAUUAUCAUUCUAAUGGCGAGGCACAUUCAGAAAUCAAUAAAUAGGUGCAUAAACAUGAAAGCAUUCUGAGGUAAUGACAACUUACAAGUAUUUCAGAAAUGACUUCCAGUCCUCGGCAGAUCUCCGGAAUGCUGUGUCCUCAUGCCAAAUAAUCUGCAGCCAAUAGUUAUACCAGGUUUAGCCAUUUGAGCACAGCUCUGUAUCAAGAUAUGUCAAAUGAUAGCUUACUAAGCAUUCUACUGUGUUACCAGUGCAUCAUUAUAUGACUGAAUCUUAAUUUCUAGUGAGCAGAAGAGCAAAGGCAGAGGUCAGAAGCAAUCAUCCACAGUGAUUUGAGAAAUUAGGCAGUGUAUUCCCAAGCAAACAUCAAAUAGCUGUACGACGUACUCCUUCUCGACUUCUCGUAAGAGAGUAACUGAAAAGAAAUUGUUUGUGUCGCUACCCACUGCUCAUGAGCCGGCAUGACAGAUUUGAAACCCUCACCGGAGUGUGAAGUGGAGGAGGUGGUCGAGCCAUCACGCAGCGCACCUACGAUGCGUAGACCAGAAACGUGCCCGACCCCACCGCCAAUCGCCCAACGAAGGACCCACUGACAUGUGCCGGGCGUGCCGGCGGUGGCGGCGUCAGUCUUCCAGGCAGUGGCAAGUGAUCCAACAUGAAUGCAUGUCCUACUAUAAGUGUUCCUUGGCUCCAUGGUGGUGCCAUGCUACCAUGCAGCUCCACCUGUGGGAGCCAACAUGUUAUUCUCUGCAGUUGCUAAUUGUCAUCAUUUUCUGUACUUUUGUAUGUAAAGUAGUUCGAUGUUGGAAACAGGAAAGAGGAUGCAAAGAAUUUUAGUUUUGCAACCGAUUAAGCAAUCGAAAAAAUAGUUAGAAACAUUGUUCCUCCGGUGUAUAUAUUUCUGCGGAGCUAAAUGACUGGUUGCUUUUAGGACUUGAACAGAACAAGUCAACAUAUUCUUCUUUACAGCUACAUGGCCUCAGACCCAGAAAUUUACAAAGAAACGUUCAAGUGGGCAGGAGAAAGGUUCAUGAACGAGCUUAAAAAACUGCCAAACAAUAAUACCCCUAAUCUGAUAAAUCCGUCCAAAUCGGUAAUACUAAUAGAACGCCCCGAUCCAGUACAUAUAAUUUUUUCUGUGACACUUUAGAAUCUUACUAUUAUACCGGAUCAGGGCGUUCUAUUAUACAUCAUGAUGGAGUAUUAUCUUUGAAUAUACAUAGAAUAGAUUAGUAGACUGGAACAGUAAGUAGUCUAAUUAAAAAAAACAUUGCAUCCACUUAAUUUCAAUCAAGUCAUAACCUGGUGCCGUCAUGAUGUAUGAUGUUAAAAUGUUGGAUAUCAUUCAGCUGAGUGUGCAGGAUCAGAUCCUCUGAAACAGUACACAAGAAGGACAAUCCAUAUCAAAAUGCAACCACAAGUACAUCCUACGUUGAGACAUUGUAUUUCAGAAUAGUCUAUAGAAAAAGAAGAGUCUGAAAUCAACUUAAUACAUGCGAAAACAUGAAAGCAUUCAGAGGUAAUGGCAGCUUACAAGCAUUGCGAGAAUAACUUCAGUGUAUCUUGGAAAUGCCGCAUCCCCAUGUGAAAUAACCUGCAGGCAAUAGUUAUACAAGAUUUAGCCAACUGGUCAUAAUUUCUUAGUUUGCAUUCAGUUUGUGCAAGGAUCUGUCACAUGAUCACUCACACUGUAUACUCUCUUGUGAUUGUGCAUCAUGAUACAAAUUAUUUGAGUGCUUGAGCACAUCCUGGUAAAAUAUAUAGGGUGGACCCUAAGAUGGAGAUAUAUAAUCUGACAGUUGGUUAUGCCCAUAAUGAGUUGUUGCUGAACCAGCAGAUUCAAGGUCUUCAGUGGUCCAAACAACUUGCUCAAUAAUCUCACACCACCUCUUUAGUUGAUGGUCUGUUUCAUUAGCAACAUCUCAUAUGUGAACUCCAGUUCGCUUGUUGUUCUUACAGUUUCCUGUAAGAUUUUAUCAGGAUUUCUUAGUUCUUUUUUUUAGUUUUAACCGCCUAAAAUAAGGUUGGUGAUCUGCAAGAGGUUCUAACAGUUAUUGCAAAAGAUAACUUUACAUGACCAUGAUUCCAUACCAUUUUGCUAAACUAGUACCAAGUUCUGUUCAAUUUUUGGUGUGCUUGCAAAAAUCAGCAUGCCAGACUCAUCAAGUAUAGUCUGAACUUCCUUGUCUUACACAAUAGACCCUUUAGCUUAAUUCGUUGCAGAAAGAACAGUUAUGAAACUAAGCAGUCAGGAGUCAAGACGAGAGUCAAAUGGUCAACUUGCCAUAUGAUUCUUUCAUUUCCUAUCUCCUACAUAGAACUAUUCACAUCAUCCAAAAGGAUGGACAGUAAAAAGAAGGUAAAACGAACACUGAAUCCUCAGAAGCCAGAAACAGCUACUUGCUGGCUAACUCCCAUGGAUGGCUCCAAACCAUUUCCAUAGUGGCAAGGUCUCACCACAGAGCUCAAGAAAGCUCUCUCUACCUCUUCUGAUGCGUUCCUUCUGAGCAAGCACAUGACAUAGUCCAUUAGAGCUGCAUCACAAGGCAGGGUUAUCCUUCCAUCGCUUGUGAAGCCAAACUCAUCGUGAGACAUCCUCAGGAGCUCCCCGAUGAUCGUCGUGCUGAGGUACGCCAAUGGCACCUCAAACCGCCUCCCGUCAGCAGUGUACAUGGCGCAGUGGCCCUUCACUGCCACUGACGUGCAGCACUCAUCGACUUCUUUUGCUGAAGUCCACAUGAGCCUCUUCCUCCUGAUGGCUGCCACUCUUUGCCACUUCCUUAUCAUCUGAGAAAGUCUCUUGGCACUGACCAUGGUUGUAUCACCUUCUUUCUUGGCAGAAAGCUCAGAGUUUUGUGUCGAGUGCUAAGCUAGUGGUAGUGCUUUGCUUGUGGAUGGAACCAGUGGUUCAGAGCUGAUGUAUUUAUAGGUGGGGGAAGAUAUGCAUGCAGCUUAAGUGCAGCUAUCAAAGCAAGCUGGCAAGGGACAAGGCCAUGAGCUUCGAACAUGCAAUGUUUAGAGGCUACCCCUUUGCUCUUUGGCACCUGUUGGAGCCAAUAGUGGUAGUGUUUGGGUGAUUGGAUAUCACAACGUGCCGCCAUACCGGCCUGCUUAAUGGGUCAGGGGCAUGCUUCAUGAGGACUACAUGUAAAAGUUGGGUCCAACAUGUGAACAGUGAGAGACAGUUCUGUGGGAGGAUAUCUUGAUAUUAUUGGAAGAUCUAGAUAUCCUCUGAGAUUGAGAUACAUAGUCCGACGGUUUUGCACGCCCAUUGUUUCUGAACAACCAGUUUUAAUGUGUUCAGUGGUCCAAACAAGUGAACAACUUGCCUGGCAAUUUCAUAAAACCUUUUGCUGGUUGUCUGUUUGAUUAGUAGCAUCUCAUGUGAACUCCCAUUUCAUGAUGUUGAAAUUUUGUCCCAUUGUGCAUAUAUAUUUCAGCUUAGGUUGCAGGACCAGACCUUCUAAAGCAGUGCUCGAGAAAAAAUCCCUUAACUAAAAUAAAAUCGCAAGUACGUUCUUCUUUGGGACAUACUGGGUCAGAUUAUCAUUCUAAGGAAGAGGCACAUUCAGAAAUUAAUGAAUAAGCGCGUAAACAUGAAAGCAUUCUGAGGUAAUGGGAACUUACAAGUAUUACAGAAAUGACUUCCAGCCCUCGGCAGAUCUCUCAAAUGCUGUCCUCGUGCCAAAUAAUCUGCAGCCAAUAGUUAUACCAGGUUUAGUCAUUUGAGUGAAUUUACAAAACUGCCAAGCAAUAAUAUCCCCCAAUCUGAUAAAUCCGUCCAAAUGGGAUUACUAAUAUAAUGCCCCGAUCCAGCACAAAAUUGUGCUUUUCAUUAGGAUCCUAUAAGGAAGUAGCAGGGACUAAGAACUCAUGCAGACCGUAUGAACUGUCCAGCAAGUUGCUAGUCUCGCAACAACCAAAGCGCUGCUUAACAAAACAACACCUAGCUAGCAUUGCAGAUGUAGACCACAUUUCUAGGUUGAGACUCAAGGCAAUCGUAUCUCUUUUUCCAAUAUAGCAGGAGAGCUGCCAAGUUCAUUACUCAGAUCAGGAAUUUACAACACGAUCAGAUGAGAAACAAGCAAAUGGAACAAAAGAAAGGAGGUUCAUGUCGUGGUUGGUUCCAGUUCAAGUUCAUCUUUUUGACACUUAUGUAAUCAAGGUUUAAGCCCUUAGUUUUUUCUUCUUUCAUCAUCGCUUGACAAUUUGGCAAACGUAAGUGCAGCUUCAAAUUCUUCGUUGACUAUUUUUUCAAGUUAUUCAAACGUCUUACAAAAUUCAUCAACGAAACUAAUUGACUGAUUAGCAGGCUGACUUCUUUUUCACAAGAAAGCUUGCUGAAUCUUAUCAAGAGCGAGUAGUAACACAAAAGAUGCUGAUGGAAUAAUCACAGGAAACUGACAUUUCCAGAAAAUUCACAGCAGUCUGCUAAGAUGAGAAAAUAGGUAUCUUUGUUGUAUUUCCUAUUGUCCUGACAAUUGACAUCUAAUUGAACAAAAACAUAUACUACUAGCUACAAACAGAAAGUUGCUGAUAAAAUCCAGCUGAUGGCGCCAAACAACUCGCACUGUAUACCAUCAUAGAGGCAUCACAGGGCAAUGUGAUCUUGCCAUUGCAGGUGAAGCCAAACUCCUCCCGAGAUAUCCGUAGGAGCUCUCUGAAGACAAUUGUGCUAACGUAAGCCAAUGGGACCUCAAACCGCGAUCCAUCGGCGGUGUACACAACACAAUGGCCCCUGUCUGCAACGGAACCGGUGCUGCAGCAUCCGUCAGUGUCUGCAGUCUCCUGGCCACCAACUGCCACCAGCCUCUGCAACUUCUUAGCCAGUUGAGCCAGCUUCUUUGGAAAUCAUGGUUCUGUGGUGUUCUUCCUAAAAUGCUCUUUUUCUUAGGAAGGUGUGACGCUUAGAUUGCUAUCUUGUUCGUGGAUGAAGUGGUUGUGUGAGCAAACUGUGAAUUUAUAUUUGAAGGAAGAGAGCAGUAGAAGGGUUAGGUGUAGCUAUGAGCACAAGUGUGGACAGGACCACAGGAGACAAGGCUAUAAACAUGGCAUGUGCAAUGCUGAAGAGACAGUCUGAUUUGAUAAGAUUUUGAUGAGGCCAGUUGUAUGGCAUGUGAUGCAGCAACCAAUACUGGUUAAAUGAAAGUGUACUGUAGUACUGGCGCGCGCAAUGGUUAAAAAAGCUAAGAUAUUUUUCAUGGAUCAGCCCUCCAUAUCACCAUGUCUCGAAUGUGUUGCAGCGUGAGAAGACUGGUAGAACUCAUGGUUCAUGUGUACCACCUAUGCUUCUGGCCCUGAACAUGUCAGCAUUCAAUAUAUAAUUUGCAUUCGCAGUGGGGUCACGCGAUUGCUUCGUUCAAGCCAUGUUUCCUGGUUUUCAUUUUCCUCUGGAUAUUGUGUAUUGUUUCAACUUUAAAACAAGACUGCUGGAUCUAUAGGGGCACCUAAAUAGACCAAAAUUCUAGUGCAUCUAUUUGAUAUUCUUCGAACAAACCCCUCCGAUAUAGAAAAUAAAAGAAAUAACAUAUAAUUUUUCUACGGCACCUUAGAGUUUUUGUAUUAUAUUAUCUUUGCAUAUACACAGAAUAUAUUAGUAGACUGAAAUAGUAAGUAGUCUAAUUUAACUUAUUUUUUUAUUGUAUCCACUUAAUUUCAAUCAAGUCAUAACCUGGGUGCCAUCAUGAUGUAUCAUGUUAAAAUGUUGGAUAUCAUUCAGCUGUGUAUGCAGGAUUGGAUCCUCUGAAACAGUACACAAGCAGGACAAUCCAUAAAACGCAAUCACAACUACAUCCUACUUUGAGACCUUGUUUUCAGAAUAGUCUAUAGAAAAAGCAGAGUCUGAAAUCAACUUAUGCAUGUGAAAAAAUGAAAACAUUCAGAGGUAAUGGGAGCUUACAAGCAUUGUGAGAGUAACUUCUGGCCCUUGGCGGAUCUUGGAAAUACUGCAUCCCAUGUCAAAUAACCUGCAGGCAAUAGUUAUACAAGAUUUAGCCAUAUCUAUUCAGAAUUUCUUAGUUUGCAUUCAGUUUGUGCAAGGAUCUGUCACAUGAUCACUGACAAUGUAUACUCUCUUGUGAUUGUGCAUCAUGAUACAAAUUAUUUGACUGCUUGCUUAUAUCCUGGUUACAUAUAUAGGGUGGCCCCUGAGGUGGGAGAUAUAAUCUCAAAGUUGGCUAUGACCAUAAAGAGUUGUUGCUGAACCACCAGAUUCAAGGUCUUCAGUGGUCCAAAUAGCUUGCUCAAUAAUCUCACAUCACUUCUUUAAUUAGUUGAUGGUCUGUUUGAUUAGCAGCAUCUCAUAUGUGAACUCCACUUCACAUUUUGUUCUUACAGUUUCCUAUGAACAGGAUUUUCUUGCCUUCUUUUUUAGUUUUGACCGCCUAGAAUAAAAUUGGUGAUUAAGAGGUUGUAACUUGUAACAGUUAUUGCAAAAGAUAACUUUAAAUGGCCAUGAUUGCAUACCAUUUUGCUAAACUAGUACCAACCUCUGUUCAAAGUUUGGUGUGCUUGCAUCAACUUUAGUCUGAAGUUUGCUGCCUUACGCAAUAGAGCCUUAUCUUAAUUCGCCAGACAAACAGAGUUGAGGAACUAAGCAGACAGAAGUCAAGACAAGAGUCAAAUGGUCAACUUGCCAUAUGAUUCUUUCAUUUCCUAUCUCCUACAUAGAACUAUUUACAUCAUCCAAAAGGAUGGAGAGACAAAAGAAGGUAAAACGAACACUGAAUCCUCAGAAGCCAGAAACAGCUACUUGCUGGCUAACUCCAAUAGAUGGCUCCAAACCAUUUCCAUAGUGGCAAGGUCUCACCACAGAGCUCAAGAAAGCUCUCUCUACCUCUUCUGAUGCGUUCCUUCUGAGCAAGCACAUGACAUAGUCCAUCACAGCUGCAUCACAAGGC
rnacentral:lncRNA from 1 species